GUGUCUCUAUCUAGAGUUUGAUCCUGGCUCAGGAUGAACGCUAGCUACAGGCUUAACACAUAGCAAGUCGAACGAAGGGAAAUAGGGAGCUUGCUCCUAUGGAACUUAGUGGCGAACGGGUGAGUAACGCGUAAUCAACCUGCCCUUCAGAGGGGGACAACAGAUGGAAACGUCUGCUAAUACCGCAUACGUUCUUGUUAUCGCAUGAUGAUGAGAAGAAAGGUGGCCUCUUGAAAAAGCUACCACUGAAGGAGGGGAUUGCGUCUGAUUAGCUAGUUGGAGGGGUAACGGCCCACCAAGGCGAUGAUCAGUAGCCGGUCUGAGAGGAUGAACGGCCACAUUGGGACUGAGACACGGCCCAA
rnacentral:rRNA from 1 species